rnacentral:misc_RNA from 1 species
GAAAUGCGAUAAGUAAUGUGAAUUGCAGAAUUCAGUGAAUCAUUGAAUCUUUGAACGCACAUUGCGCCCGCCAGUAUUCUGGCGGGCAUGCCUGUUCGAGCGUCAUUACAACCCUCAGGCCCCCGGGCCUGGCGUUGGGGAUCGGCGGAAGCCCCCUGCGGGCACAACGCCGUCCCCCAAAUACAGUGGCGGUCCCGCCGCAGCUUCCAUUGCGUAGUAGCUAACACCUCGCAACUGGAGAGCGGCGCGGCCACGCCGUAAAACACCCAACUUCUGAAUGUUGACCUCGAAUCAGGUAGGAAUACCCGCUGAACUUAAGC